rnacentral:lncRNA from 1 species
GGGACGUUUUUAUGCUAUAGCUGACUGAAUAUUUAAAAUUUCUUAGAGAUAUGCUAUUAAAUGCUGAUCAGUCCCUUGGUUUAAUUAGCCCUGGUUAGGAGUGGAGAGCUGUGUGUAUCUUCAGUAUGUUUUACUGGCUCACUAGUAUUUACUGUUACAGCUUCAUUGUAUCUUUAGCAUUAAAGCCAAAUAUUGCUAUCUUCCCAUAGUGUAUAACCAUUUCCAUCUUCAGAUGUCAAAAGCUAGCCAUACCCCAAGAUGUACAAAGUAUUUUGUUGUUCCUUUUGUUAUUAUAUUUAAAUAAUAUUUGUCCAAAUUUAGAAAAAAGGGGGGAUUUCUCAAACAUUAAACUACUAGCAUUUAAAACUUGAGGUAUAAUUGGUACAGUGACUUUUAAGUGAUGGCUUUCUUAAGGUACAAGACCAUUAGUUUUGUUUGUAAAUUUUAUGGUAAUGACAGAGAAUGUUGCUUAAAUUGAGGAUAUCUAGCUAUGGGGCUCUCCAGCAAGUAGUGUGUUUCUAAUGUAGUUCUAGAAUAGAACCAGGAGAUGCAGGAAGUAGUCAGCAUUGUUUCCAUGCUGGUCUCAGAAAUGGCUUUUCUGAUUCUGUGUCUCAGUUCUCAGUACCCUGUGAUUUGGGUAUAUUCUGUUUGCCAAACACUGUGGUGGGGUCCGGAUUCUUCAAUAUUUGAGCAGAUGCUAAGAGGUUACUAAGGGCACGUAGCCCUUAUAAAUUGCAGAAGUGGUUGAAUAUUUGAGGAAUCUUUCUGGGAAUUUUAAGAAACCUUUAACUGGAUGUUAGAUUUUGUCAGCGUGGUCUUCCUCUCCCAGAUAUGAAUUCUGUUUGCUUUUGGCACCUGGCACUCACACCUUUUUCUGCUUUUAGAAAUUGUGCAUUGAGAGAGGGAGCUGAUCUCUUU